GUGGGGAAUAUUGGACAAUGGGCGAAAGCCUGAUCCAGCCAUGCCGCGUGUGUGAAGAAGGUCUUCGGAUUGUAAAGCACUUUAAGUUGGGAGGAAGGGCAGUAAGUUAAUACCUUGCUGUUUUGACGUUACCAACAGAAUAAGCACCGGCUAACUCUGUGCCAGCAGCCGCGGUAAUACAGAGGGUGCAAGCGUUAAUCGGAUUUACUGGGCGUAACGCGCGCGUAGGUGGUUUUGUAAGUUGGAGGUGAAAUCCCCGGGCUCAACCUGGGAACUGCCUCCAAAACUGCAUGACUAGAGUACGGUAGAGGGUAGUGGAAUUUCCUGUGUAGCGGUGAAAUGCGUAGAUAUAGGAAGGAACACCAGUGGCGAAGGCGACUACCUGGACUGAUACUGACACUGAGGUGCGAAAGCGUGGGGAGCAAACAGGAUUAGAAACCCUUGUAGUCC
rnacentral:rRNA from 1 species